rnacentral:tRNA from 1 species
GGUCCUGUAGCUCAGUGGUUAGAGCGAUGGUCUUAUGAGCCAUAGGUCGUGGGUUCGACCCCCGCUGGGAUUA